CCUACGGGUGGCAGCAGUCGGGAAUAUUGCGCAAUGGAGGAAACUCUGACGCAGUGACGCCGCGUAUAGGAAGAAGGUUUUCGGAUUGUAAACUAUUGUCGUUAGGGAAGAUAAAAGACUGUACCUAAGGAGGAAGCCCCGGCUAACUAUGUGCCAGCAGCCGCGGUAAUACAUAGGGGGCAAGCGUUAUCCGGAAUUAUUGGGUGUAAAGGGUGCGUAGGUGGUUUAGUAAGUUGGCGGUGUAAUUCCGGGGCUCAACCUCGGCGCUACCGCCAAAACUAUUAGACUAGAGUGCAGGAGGGGUAAGUGGAAUUCCUAGUGUAGCGGUGGAAUGCGUAGAUAUUAGGAGGAACAUCAGGGGCGAAGGCGACUUACUGGACUGUAACUGACACUGAGGCACGAAAGCGUGGGGAGCAAACAGGAUUAGAUACCCUUGUAGUC
rnacentral:rRNA from 1 species